rnacentral:rRNA from 1 species
CAGUCGCCGCGGUAAAACGGAGGGAGCUAGCGUUGUUCGGAAUUACUGGGCGUAAAGCGCGCGUAGGCGGUUACUCAAGUCAGAGGUGAAAGCCCGGGGCUCAACCCCGGAACUGCCUUUGAAACUAGGUGACUAGAAUCUUGGAGAGGUCAGUGGAAUUCCGAGUGUAGAGGUGAAAUUCGUAGAUAUUCGGAAGAACACCAGUGGCGAAGGCGGCUCACUGGACGACUGUUGACGCUGAGGUGCGAAAGCGUGGGGAGCAAACAGGAUUAGAUACCCCGGUAGUCCCUGUCUCUUAUAA